GCUACUCUGUUUAGUGAUUUCUGCGAGUUUUGACUUUGAGCUGCUAUUACCAGAUAUUCAGGCCGCCGCCGUCGCCCAAAAAAAAAUUAUUGACGGAGCUGCUGCCGGGCCGAUUUGAUGUUGCGGCUGCUUCGUUUUGCUAGUUCAGUAAGUAUUUAUGUUUCAGAAAACCUCGCGUUAGUAUUCUGUUGUGUUUGGUUAAUGAACAUGAGUUUUGAUAA